rnacentral:misc_RNA from 1 species
AUUGCACCCGCGCCUCUUCAGUUGUUGGCUCAAGCGCUCGUUGGCCUUGGCCGACGUCGGUUUCCUGUGUUGAAUACCUAUCGUGAAGGCAUUUUGUUGGCUAUAUUGUCCCUUUUCCGCCUCGCACUGCUGCGCCUGUCGGCGCUGUGGUGCGGGGUGGACCUCAAAGCGUGCGCCGUGUUCCGCAUCCCGUGCA